rnacentral:rRNA from 1 species
AAUAUUGGACAAUGGGUGAGAGCCCGAUCUAGCCAUCCCGCGUGCAGGAAGAAUGCCUUAUGGGUUGUAAACUGCUUUUAUACAGGACUAAACCACUUUACGUGUAAGGUGUUGAUGCUACUGUAUGAAUAAGCUUCGUCUAACUCCGUGCCAUCAGCCGCGGUAAUACGGAGGAUGCAAGCGUUAUCCGGAUUUAUUGGGUUUAAAGGGUCCAUAGGCGAGCAUAUAAGUCAGAGGUGAAAGCCGACAGCUUAACUGUCGAACUGCCUUUGAAACUGUAUGUCUUGAGUGCGAUUGAAGCAUCUGGAAUGUGUAGUGUAGCGGUGAAAUGCAUAGAUAUUACACAGAACACCGAUAGCGUAGGCAGGUUGCUAAGUCUUUACUGACGCUGAUGGACGAAAGCGUGGGGAGCAAAC